rnacentral:rRNA from 1 species
UACGUAGGGUCCGAGCGUUAAUCGGAAUUACUGGGCGUAAAGCGUGCGCAGGCGGUUUUGUAAGCCAGAUGUGAAAUCCCCGGGCUUAACCUGGGAAUGGCAUUUGGGACUGCAAGGCUUGAGUGCGGCAGAGGGGGGUGGAAUUCCGGGUGUAGUGGUGAAAUGCGUAGAGAUCCGGAGGAACACCUGUGGCGAAGGCGGCCCCCUGGGCCGCACCUGACGCUGAGACGCGAAAGCGCGGGGAGCGAACGGG